rnacentral:lncRNA from 1 species
AUGUUCCAGUUUGCUCAAUACUUUGGACAAAUGAAACGACUGGAUGUGGUGACUGCGAAGCCUCUUCCUGCCAAGGAAGUCUGUGAGCUAAUGUGCCCAGCCGAGAAUAUUCCCAAGGAGUCUGGUCCCCGCAUGCCUCCUUGUGGGAUACUUUGGACAUCAGCUCUUCUCACUGAUCACGCGGGUCCUUGUGGCAGAGCAUGCUUGAGGCUGAUUGAGGUCCAGUGCCUUGGUGGGCAGUGCCCAGCUUUGGUGAAGGUUCUGUGCUGGAGAGCUUCCUGCCUUACUGGUCUCCUGACAUGUCCGUUGUGAGCAUGUUAAAGUCCCCAGCUGUGCCAUGUCCCGUGCGAGACAUCCUUUGGAGUCUUGGGGACCCAAAGUGAGUUUCAAGAGCUGCCCUUCAAGAGCUGUCCCUGAAUGACAUUCCCGAAUGGAGUAGUCGCCAGAGCAGACUGAGGCACAGGUGCUCCUCGCUGGGUGCUGGCAAGGCUCUGGUUUGGCCGGCUGCUGAGUCUUACUGAACUGGGCAAUUCCAGGUGGUCUCCAAGGACACUGGUUGGGGCAGCAAAGCCUUCUCUCCAGGGUUAGCAGGACCUCGGCCAGAGCCCAGAUUGCAGCUCUUGGAGCUGCCCAGCCAGCAUUAAUAUCAGGCGCAGUUUGGCCUUUGGCAUUUGGGAAGAGAACUCCUUGCCGGAGAUGAAGAAAUGAUUAAUUCUCCUGUGACAGUCAAGCUACAUUUAAUUCUGUUGUAAGGUCAGUGGGAACUUCAGAUGAAUAUUAAAGAGAAGAGCAUUUUAUUAUUAAAAAGUUCACUCCGUGUUUACUUCAAGGGGCUCGAAUGGAACGGAAUCCUUGGGUUUGGGGAGGUAGAAUUGCUGGGACAUUAAGAGGGGCAGAUUUCAGUAGUUCAGAGGUCAGGAUGGAGACAAGAAGCCCCCAGUUUGACAGCCAGAGCAUUCGCUGAACACUUCCUGUGUUCCAGGCACUGUGCUGAGCGCUAGGAUACCAGUUCAAGCCAAGGAGAUAGUCUCUGACCUCAAAGAGUUUACAUUUGGGGGGAUCUGGAGAAGGGGGAAGGGAGGGCGGAGGAACAUCAUGCCCUCCCACCAUCCCCACCUGAUACUCAGCACUUUUUGUUUCAACUCUUAC